rnacentral:rRNA from 1 species
CGGCGGACGGGUGAGUAACGCGUGGGUAACCUGCCUCGUACAGGGGAUAACAGUUGGAAACGGCUGCUAAUACCGCAUAAGCGCACAGUACCGCAUGGUACGGUGUGAAAAAUCCGGUGGUAUGAGAUGGACCCGCGUCUGAUUAGGUAGUUGGUGGGGUAACGGCCUACCAAGCCGACGAUCAGUAGCCGACCUGAGAGGGUGACCGGCCACAUUGGGACUGAGACACGGCCCAA